rnacentral:tRNA from 1 species
GGGCGAUUAGCUCAGCGGGAGAGCGUCCCCCUGACACGGGGAAGGUCACAGGUUCAAUCCCUGUAUCGCCCACCA